UGGUGGAGUGAUUUGUCUGGUUUAUUCCGUUAACGAACGAGACCUCGACCUGCUAAAUAGUACCGCGCGCUGCUUGCGGCGCGCCUUGGCGACUUCUUAGAGGGACUAUCGGUGUUUAGCCGGUGGAAGUUCGAGGCAAUAACA
rnacentral:rRNA from 1 species